AUGGUAUGGAACGAACGUUCGUGUUUGGAGUUGCACGCGCGAUGCGCUCCUGCCCGUCCGAUCGGCCUUGCUCUGCCAGUCUACCCCUAUCCCCACUUCCCCAGCCGCCUCACACUCUCUCCCAUGCCCAGCCGCCUCACCUGCUCCCUUCUCGCCGUCGACCUCUUCCGCGGCCCGCCACGGCGAGAACGGAGCUCGGACUUGUGUUGCUGCUCUCUCUCAGACCCCCAUUCCGAUCCCCAUUCCGGUGGCCGUUUUCUGCUCGAAUCAAGCUGCGUGCGUGUAUUCCUGCCGGCGGCCUUCUCCGUUGGGGUUCGGUUUGAUGUGGUGUACAGCGAGGAGGCCGUGGGCGACCUGCUCGCCACCCUCAACCAGCUAUCCGGCCCGGACACAACCAUACUGCUCGCCAUCCCAUCCUAG
rnacentral:rRNA from 1 species